ACGAACGCUGGCGGCGUGCUUAACACAUGCAAGUAACGAGCGGUAAGGCCCUUUCGGGGGUACGACGAGCGGCGAACGGGUGAGUAACACGUGGGUGACCUGCCCUCAGCUCUGGGAUAGGCCUGGGAAACCGGGUCUAAUACUGGAUAUGACUCCAUGACGCAUGUUGUGGGGUGGAAAGCCUUGUGCGGCUGAGGAUGGGCCCGCGGCCUAUCAGCUUGUUGGUGGGGGUGAUGGCCUACCAAGGCGACGACGGGUAGCCGGCCUGAGAGGGCGACCGGCCACACUGGGACUGAGACACGGCCCAGACUCCUACGGGAGGCAGCAGUGGGGAAUCUUGCGCAAUGGGCGAAAGCCUGACGCAGCGACGCCGCGUGAGGGAUGACGGCCU
rnacentral:rRNA from 1 species